AACAAGAAGAAGAAGAAGAAGAAAUAAAGUUGUUGUGUUGUUCAGACAUGGCGAUAUCAUUCCAUAUAUCAUCCAUAGAUGUCGUAGAAGCUCUCUUCCCCAAUAUCCUUGUUGGAAGAAGAUGAGGACUGGUAACUCGUAGACGAAGAUGAUGGAGAUGAUUGGGUGGUUGCAGGUGCACGCUUCUUCUCCUGUGCCUUCUGCUUCCUCAUCUGAGUCCUCCAAAAGUUCUUGAUCUCAUUGUCUGUUCGCCCUGGCAACUUCCUUGCAAUUCUUGACCACCUGCGUUAAUAUAUUCAAUUAUUGUACGACUCUAAUCUAUUAUUAAAAUAAUAAUAAAAUUAUUAUUUGAUAGUUAUAAA